rnacentral:pre_miRNA from 2 species
UUUUAUAGUUGAGCAAGAAAAGUGGUUUUUUGAGAUGGAAUCUACUCCUGGUGAAGAAGCUAUAAA